UACGUAGGGGGCAAGCGUUGUCCGGAAUCAUUGGGCGUAAAGCGCGUGUAGGCGGCCCGAUAAGUCCGCUGUGAAAGUCCAGGGCUCAACCCUGGAAUGCCGGUGGAUACUGUCGGGCUCGAGUCCGGAAGAGGCGAGUGGAAUUCCUGGUGUAGCGGUGAAAUGCGCAGAUAUCAGGAGGAACACCAAUGGCGAAGGCAGCUCGCUGGGACGUGACUGACGCUGAGACGCGAAAGCGUGGGGAGCAAACAGG
rnacentral:rRNA from 1 species